AAAAAAAAAGCUGUUUUCAGUGCAAGGAGAGCCCAGCCAGCCCUUCUGGUGGGUUUAAGUGGCCCCUCAGUUCAUCAUGUCCCUCUUCACCUCCUUGCUGUGGGCCACGUACCUGUCAAGAAGAAGCAGAGAAGAGGAUUUGUGGAGCUUGGCUGAGAGAACAGGGGAUUUCCAGGACAGGGCUUGCUUAUAAGCACAAGCAAGGACUUUGGUCCAUUUAGCAGAUUUGAUCUAUUAGCUACCAAGUGAAGCAAGAAAAGAGGUUAAACGAUAUCAAACUUCCCACCUUCUCGUGUCUUCCCUCUCUGACACCACUCACCACUUUUUUUAUAAACAAGAGGAACUUUCACAAAAUAUCCUAAGCCUAACAGUUUCUUCUUAUCCCCUCAGGGGAACAAACGAUUUCUUAUCUCUCCUCUGAGCGGGUUGUAAAGCCCUCUCUAGUCCUGCUUUCAUCCCAAACUCUAAUGAAGUCAGCAAAGGCAGGAAGAGCUUGUGCCUUUGAAUCUAGCUCUUGUGGCCUUCCGAAUUGCAGAUCAAGGGGCCCCUUCAAACAGGAUCUUUUGCUGCAAGGAGAGCUACCCAGUGCUGCCAAGGGAGAGGCCCCCCUGUUACUGCAGACCUGUUAA
rnacentral:lncRNA from 1 species